rnacentral:rRNA from 1 species
UCUGACCAGCCAUGCCGCGUGCAGGAUGACGGUCCUAUGGAUUGUAAACUGCUUUUGUACGAGAAGAAACAACAUUACGUGUAAUGUCUUGACGGUAUCGUAAGAAUAAGGAUCGGCUAACUCCGUGCCAGCAGCCGCGGUAAUACGGAGGAUCCAAGCGUUAUCCGGAAUCAUUGGGUUUAAAGGGUCCGUAGGCGGUUUAGUAAGUCAGUGGUGAAAGCCCAUCGCUCAACGGUGGAACGGCCAUUGAUACUGCUGAACUUGAAUUAUUAGGAAGUAACUAGAAUAUGUAGUGUAGCGGUGAAAUGCUUAGAGAUUACAUGGAAUACCAAUUGCGAAGGCAGGUUACUACUAAUGGAUUGACGCUGAUGGACGAAAGCGUGGGUAGCGAACAGGAUUAGAUACCCUGGUAGUCCACGCCGUAAACGAUGGAUACUAGCUGUUGGGGGCAACUUCAGUGGCUAAGCGAAAGUGAUAAGUAUCCCACCUGGGGAGUACGUUCGCAAGAAUGAAACUCAAAGGAAUUGACGGGGGCCCGCACAAGCGGUGGAGCAUGUGGUUUAAUUCGAUGAUACGCGAGGAACCUUACCAAGGCUUAAAUGUAGAUUGACCGAUUUGGAAACAGAUCUUUCGC